rnacentral:rRNA from 1 species
GUUUGACCUCGGAUCAGGUAGGGAUACCCGCUGAACUUAAGCAUAUCAAUAAGCGGAGGAAAAGAAACCAACAGGGAUUGCCUCAGUAACGGCGAGUGAAGCGGCAACAGCUCAAAUUUGAAAUCUGACCCCUUCGGGGCCCGAGUUGUAAUUUGUAGAGGGUGUUUCGGGCGCGGCGCCGGUUUAAGUUCCUUGGAACAGGACGUCAUAGAGGGUGAGAAUCCCGUAUGUGACUGGUGACCAAGCCCAUGUGAAGCCCCUUCGACGAGUCGAGUUGUUUGGGAAUGCAGCUCAAAAUGGGUGGUAAAUUUCAUCUAAAGCUAAAUAUUGGCCAGAGACCGAUAGCGGACAAGUAGAGUGAUCGAAAGAUGAAAAGCACUUUGGAAAGAGAGUCAAACAGUACGUGAAAUUGUUGAAAGGGAAGCGCUUGCGAUCAGACCGGUCCGAGGGUGAUCAACCGUUGCUCGUCAGCGGUGCACUCGCCCUCGAUCCGGCCAGCAUCGGUUUGGGCGGUGGGAUAAAAGUUCCGGGAAUGUAGCUUCCUUCGGGGAGUCUUAUAGCCUGGUUCGUCAUGCUGCCCGCCUGGACCGAGGACCGCGCUUCGGCUAGGAUGCUGGCGUAAUGGUCGCAAGCGACCCGUCUUGAAACACGGACCAAGGAGUCUAACAUCUAUGCGAGUGUUUGGGUGUCAAACCCAGGCGCGGAAUGAAAGUGAACGGAGGUGGGAACCCUCGGGCGCACCAUCGACCGAUCCAGAUGUCUUCGGAUGGAUUUGAGUACGAGCAUAGCUGUUGGGACCCGAAAGAUGGUGAACUAUGCCCGGAUAGGGUGAAGCCAGAGGAAACUCUGGUGGAGGCUCGCAGCGGUUCUGACGUGCAAAUCGAUCGUCAAAUCUAGGCAUAGGGGCGAAAGACCAAUCGAACC